rnacentral:lncRNA from 1 species
CACUCUGCUAAAAGAGGCACCAUUUUUUCUUCAAUGUGUUUCUGUGGUGGUUUUACUUGGGUGGGCGGCCGAGCUCCACCACAACCGCUCUCUCUCUCCCCCUCCUGGAAGUGGAAUGGGGAGAAAAUACGUUGAAAAGGGCUCAAGGGUUGAGAUAAGGACGAGGAGAUCAUGCAGUAAUUAUUGUGACGGGCAAAACAGACUCAGCAUAGGGAGAUAGUAAGAUUUAUUACCUAUUACUAACAAGCUAGAGAAGUGAGAAACAAAGGAAGGAAACCAAAAGCACCUUCCCCCCCAUCCACCCUCUUCCACGUCCUCCCCCUGAGCGGUGCAGGGGAAUGGGGGAAUGGGGGGUUAUAGUCAGUCUAUAGCGCUUCUGUGCUGCUCCUUCUCGGUCACUCUUGUCCCCUGUGCUGUGGGGUCCCUCCCACGGGAUGCAGUCCUUGCUGAACUGAUCCGGCGUGGGCUGCCCACAGGCAGCAGCUCUUCAAGAACUGCUCCAGAUACAGCUCUGUACUACGGGGUCCAUCCCUCAGGAGCAAACUGCUCCAACCUGGAUCCCCCACGGGCAGCAGCUCCUGCCAGGUCACCUGCUCCUGCAUGGGCUCCUCUCCACAGGCUACAGGUCUGGCCCAGAAUUUGCUCUGGCAGGGGUCUUCCACAGGCCACAGUAGUCUCUGUCGGUGCAGGUCCACCUGCUCCACUGUGGUCUCCUCCACGGGCUGCAGCGUGGAACCCUGCUCCACCGUGGUACUCCAUGGGCUGCAGGGGGACAGCCUGCUUCACCAUGGUCCUCACCACAGGCCGCAGGGGACUUCUGCUCUGGCGCCUGGAGCACCUCUCCCCCUCCUUCUUCACUGACCUUGGCACCAGCAAGGCUGUUCCUCACUCCUCUUACUUUCCCAGCUGCUGUGUGGUGCAGUGUUUUUUUUUUUUUUUUUUUUUUUUUUUUUUUUUUUUUUCCCCUGUCUUAAAUAUGCUCUCACAGAGGCGCAAAACUACAUCACGCUCAGCUCUGGUCAGCAGUGGGGCCCUUACCAAACAUAGGGCAGUUUCUAGAUCCUUCUCACAGAAGCCACCCCUAUGGCCCCCUGCUACCAAAACCUUGCCACGUAAACCCACUACAAUUGCAUAAGGGACUUAAGAAGAGCAAAGCUCCUUAUUUUCUCCUUUGGGUUGGGC